UACCAGCACCCCGAGUGGUCGGGACGAUUAUUGGGCCUAAAGCAUCCGUAGCCGGCCUUACAAGUCCUCCGUUAAAUCCAGCUACUUAACAGAUGGGCUGCGGAGGAUACUAUAAGACUAGGAGGCAGGAGAGGCAAGCGGUACUCAGUGGGUAGGGGUAAAAUCCGUUGAUCCAUUGAAGACCACCAGUGGCGAAGGCGGCUUGCCAGAAUGCGCUCGACGGUGAGGGAUGAAAGCUGGGGGAGCAAACCGG
rnacentral:rRNA from 1 species